GGCGAACGGGUGAGUAACACGUGAGUAACCUGCCCUUGACUCUGGGAUAAGCCUGGGAAACUGGGUCUAAUACCGGAUACGACCGUCCCGCGCAUGCGGUGGUGGUGGAAAGCUUUUGCGGUUUUGGAUGGACUCGCGGCCUAUCAGCUUGUUGGUGGGGUAAUGGCCUACCAAGGCGACGACGGGUAGCCGGCCUGAGAGGGUGACCGGCCACACUGGGACUGAGACACGGCCCAGACUCCUACGGGAGGCAGCAGUGGGGAAUAUUGCACAAUGGGCGGAAGCCUGAUGCAGCGACGCCGCGUGAGGGAUGACGGCCUUCGGGUUGUAAACCUCUUUCAGUAGGGAAGAAGCGAAAGUGACGGUACCUGCAGAAGAAGCGCCGGCUAACUACGUGCCAGCAGCCGCGGUAAUACGUAGGGCGCAAGCGUUAUCCGGAAUUAUUGGGCGUAAAGAGCUCGUAGGCGGUUUGUCGCGUCUGCUGUG
rnacentral:rRNA from 1 species